AUGAAACACCUGAUUGUCCUGUGUUUCCUUCUGCUGGGACUUUCAGUUGCAAGAACCCAGUCGAGCAUCACACUGACCCAGCCUGCCUCUGCAGAUUUGAAGAAGCCAGGAGAGUCUCUGAAACUGUCCUGCCAGGUGUCUGGGUUUUCAAUAGGCAGCUCCUGGAAAGGCUGGAUCCGACAGGCUCCUGGGAAGGGGCUGGAGUGGUUGGCACUCUACUAUGAUGAGAGCAGCACAAAGUACUAUGCCUCUUCAGUCCAAGGACGUUUCACUGCCUCCAUGGACACCUCCUCCAGCACCUUCUUCUUACAAAUGAACGACCUGAGAGCUGAAGACACAGCUGUGUAUUACUGUGCGAAAGACACACAGUGA